rnacentral:lncRNA from 1 species
UAUGUAUUAAAACUUUAUCAGUACUCUUCUCUAGUUCUCUUUAUAUUUGGUUGCCUUCUUUAGAAUCAUAUCCUUCAUAGCUUCCUACAACAAUGUUUAACUAAUUUUCAUUUUCUUGCAACAAUUUUCUGUGUACAAGCUAGCUAAGUGCAUGGCCAUCUCCGAAAACUCAAUCAAAAUUCAUUGCUGCAGAACUAUUUCAAGUGUUUUCUUCAUGGCCUUCUUCAUCUGUUUGUUCUUGAGCUGUAGUAGUGGUGCUUCCUCAGUGAUCCCCAGUAAUUUCCAAAGACAGAGGCAGUUGCUUUCACAAACUAAGGCUCAUUCUUCGCGUUCAGUAUCAUCAUCGUCGUUGGCUAGGGUCAAGAAAUGCAAUUAUUUUGGAAAAUGCAAAGUGCAGUUUGAAGGUGAUGAGCACGCGGUUCCCAGUGGACCAAACCCUAUAUCUAACAGGUAAUGAUAAAUUAGAUCAAGAAGUUAUGAGUUUUCUACGCGUGAGAGAAGAUUUUGGCUUUACACUCGGUAUUUGGUGAUUGUUAUAGGCCUAGAUUGAGAUCUCAGCUUGUAAAUGAGCUCAGAUCAAAGUAAGUCAGGCUCCAUAUAUGGUUGUUACUAUUAUCAAGAUUUAAGGUACUGUGAUCUCAGCUGGUAGAUGAGUUUGAAUCUCAUCAGAGACGAUUUGGUAAUUAAUCAUCGUUACAGAGAAUAUUCAUGGCCUUAUUAUCUUGUAAUAUAGUUCGGAUUAUGAAUGAGAGUAUUUGAAUUUAGCAACUACUGUUUGUAAUUAUAAUACUUGCACAAUAGUAUAUAAUAUUAUAAUCAAACUUAAUUUGUGCUUGUUUGAUAAUUUAUGCGCGAUUUCAAGGCGAUUAGUUGCUAGUAUCAGUCCUUUAUGCGCAAUUUUAAGGCGUUCUUGCAUGCACAGAGCUGGUCUUAUAGUGUUCAGAUCAAAUUUCUCAGAACUAUAAGUAUACUGGAUCCAUGUCCAAGUAUCCGUGUCGAAUCAUUAUGUGUGUGUUUAUUCAAGAUAAUUAAUCGAUAUGGAUGCUAAGACGAUAGCAGCAGGGAGCUGAUAAUAAUGAGUAGUACUGGAGUCAGAAUCUGAUGCUACUGCUGCAUUUCAAAGUGAGCAAGAAUCGCCUCACUCAAUCACUAGUUUUUUGCUUUAUUUUGUUUGACUUUGCUUUUUCUGAUCAUCAAUCAACUUAAAUAUUCCAGUAUAGCAUAGCCUAUUUGACAUCCAUGAGUUUGAGGGCUCCUCACUUGCCAGAAAAUUUGAAUACCUGGAUGCUCAAAUAUUCCAAAUGUCUUGUAAAAAAUUUAUAGGCUUUACUUUUUAGCGAUUUAUCGCUUAUUUCAUUUUCAACUGGA